GGCCGCGGCGAAGUGAGCAGAGUCUGACGGAGCACGCCGCGUGAGUGAUGAAGGUUUUCGGAUCGUAAAGCUCUGUUGUUAGGGAAGAACAAGUACCGUUCGAAUAGGGCGGUACCUUGACGGUACCUAACCAGAAAGCCACGGCUAACUACGUGCCAGCAGCCGCGGUAAUACGUAGGUGGCAAGCGUUGUCCGGAAUUAUUGGGCGUAAAGGGCUCGCAGGCGGUUUCUUAAGUCUGAUGUGAAAGCCCCCGGCUCAACCGGGGAGGGUCAUUGGAAACUGGGGAACUUGAGUGCAGAAGAGGAGAGUGGAAUUCCACGUGUAGCGGUGAAAUGCGUAGAGAUGUGGAGGAACACCAGUGGCGAAGGCGACUCUCUGGUCUGUAACUGACGCUGAGGAGCGAAAGCGUGGGGAGCGAACAGGAUUAGAUACCCCUGUAGUCCA
rnacentral:rRNA from 1 species